rnacentral:rRNA from 1 species
GACGGAGGAUGCAAGCGUUACUCGGAAUUACUGGGCGUAAAGCGUGCGUAGGUGGUUCGUUAAGUCUGAUGUGAAAGCCCUGGGCUCAACCUGGGAAUGGCAUUGGAAACUGGCGGGCUAGAGUGCGGUAGAGGGUAGUGGAAUUCCCGGUGUAGCAGUGAAAUGCGUAGAGAUCGGGAGGAACAUCCGUGGCGAAGGCGACUGCCUGGACCAGCACUGACACUGAGGCACGAAAGCGUGGGGAGCAAACAGG